AUUGAACGCUGGCGGCAUGCCUUACACAUGCAAGUCGAACGGCAGCACGGGAGCAAUCCUGGUGGCGAGUGGCGAACGGGUGAGUAAAGUAUCGGAACGUACCUUUCAGUGGGGGAUAACGUAGCGAAAGUUACGCUAAUACCGCAUAUUCUGUGAGCAGGAAAGCAGGGGAUCGCAAGACCUUGCGCUGAUUGAGCGGCCGAUAUCAGAUUAGCUAGUUGGUGAGGUAAAGGCUCACCAAGGCGACGAUCUGUAGCGGGUCUGAGAGGAUGACUCCGCCACACUGGAACUGAGACACGGUCCAGACUCCGUACGGGA
rnacentral:rRNA from 1 species